AGAAUUUUUAUGAGUUAACUUGAAUAACCUAAUAUUUUGUCUUUUAGUUCGAAAACUUGUAAAUAACACUAUAACAAAAAUGAAAAAAGAUGUAAAGAAAAAAUAUUCAAAACAAAUAUAUUAUUUUCUAAAACAAUCACAUGUAUGUUUGGUAUGUAUAUAUGUAUGUAUGCAUUUCUAACAAAGUUGCUUAGAUGUUUUCAAAUUUGGUAAGAUAUAUCGAGCCGACAGUAAAGCAGUAAAAAAAACGAAAAACAGCGCAUGUUUGAAUAUAUAUAUAUAUAUUUUUUUUUUAUUUUCUAGUGAUUUAGUUUGCUUUUGGGAAAAAGGCAAAGUUAUGUAUUAAGUUACAGAAAAAGUUACAUACUCAAUUCAUUAUGGAAUGCUUAUGAUAUAAACUUUGCAUGGAACCUGAAUAUUUAUACAUUUGCAAUAUGUUGCUACAGAGUGUUAUAAUUUUGUUCACCUAUAUAUAGAAAUGAUCGGUUACCGUCCGUCCUUCCCUGCAAGCCAGGCGCUCUAGUAGGUUUAAUAUGGAUAUCUCAGAAACCACUAUAGUUAGAAAGAAAGUCCUUCGAAUAUUAUGGUUAGUCAGAAAAAUUUUUAAAACAUUACAACCACUCCCACUCUCCAUAAACCAUUAUGUUGAAAACUACUUAAUACGCGAUAAAUCAAUAAGCAAAUACAUCAUAAGCAUUCAAUUUCUCAUCUUGUAUGUUACGGAAGAGCCUCAUAAAAGCCCGUGACAAAAUUGGACAAUGAGCCUGUCACAGUCCACCCAUUUCAACUAAAUUCGGUCAAUAAGAUUAUGUUGACAUUUUUAUCUGCUAUUUUAUAUUUAUAAUUGUAUAUAGUGAAAUUCCUCAUAACCGGACACCCACCGUCGCAGUGUGAGCUCUAAAUGUAUUCCUACUAAAUAAAUAUAUGCGAGCCAUCGCACAUCAGACGGCGCCAGUGCUAUGAUCAUUUUACGUAUUGUCUUUAGAAACAACGCCACAGAAGACCAAAAAUAAAUAUGAAUUGAAAAAAUGGGAAACUAUUCAUAAAUUGUACAUAAUUUUCUUCAGACAUUUUAUGAAAUAUUGCCGUUUAUCUGGGGUUAUUUGAACGAAAUAUUAUCAAAAUAGUGUCCGUUUCCGGUCAUUGGAACGUUUUUGAGUUAUUGAUCAGGAUCCAUUUGAUAGCACGAAUAAUGCUUUUAGAGUGUGCCACCAAAAAUUGUCCAAAUCCAACCAAAACUGUUAAAGCCCCUAGGUACCGAAUAUAUGGAUCCCAGUAUCUCUGGAUGACUUUUGACUGAAAAUGUAUCAAUGUAUACAAUUGAAAUUCAGAGAGUCUUUUCCUGAUAAUUGUAUCUUGGUGUAUCAAAAAUGGAUUGAGAAAGUCUUUUCCUGAUAAUUGUAUCUUGGUGUAUCAAAAAUGGAUUGAUUCGGGCCAAUACUUCCCUGAGCCCCCAUAUACCUAAUAUAAAUAUUUUGUGAGAGAGAGUGUUUUACUCAUAACAGUGUAUAUUUGUACCUAAAAUAGAUAAAAUUGUGCGAAAACGUGUCCUAGCCCCGUAUAACUAAUAUCACGAUGGUUGACGUCUUACACCUUCAGCUAUUUCCUUGGUUUUGAUUCCUGCUAGUUUCAAGGGUAUAAGAUGUUAGGCUGCACCCGAACUUAGUCCUUCCUUACUUGUUGAAUGUAUAGCUUUGAUACACCUGAAAGCAUUUUUACGCCUCUGACUUUUGCUAAUUGCGAGAGUAUAAAAUUUUCAUUGAACUUGAACCCUCUCUUACUUGCUUUCCAUUACACUGCUUCAAUUUCAAUACUUUAAGGAGAAAAUAAAAAUGCCAAAAUUUAUGUAUGUAAAUCAUUCGUAUUUAUGUAUAUUAAAUUAACGAAUGUACAUAUAUUUCUAUUAUUACAUUAAAAUCAAGUUAUUCUCUUUUCUUAAUAUUUAUUUACAUAACUUAACAAUUGUUGUGAAACUUAACUCUGAACAUUUUUAAAAUUAAUAGCUGCUUACAAAAUGACAAUAUUAAGACUUUUGUCAUGUGGCAUGAUCCAAUCAAUAUGCAUUCGUUACAUACAUAUGUAUGUGUAUAUGUACAAGUAGGAGUGUGGCUUAAAUAAUUAGAAUGUAAUAUGUUAAUCUAAAUCCAAAAACUUUUUUAUUGUACUCGUAUCCACAAACUAUUAUAUAAAAGUGUUAAUAUAUUAAUACAUAUAUUACACUAAGAUAUCUAAUACAAAAUGCAUUCAAUUGGAUUAAAAACGUACACAUGCCUGCCAUGCUGUUAUUACGUACCUUAUUAUUCCCUAUAUUCGACAACUUUAAGUUCUAUUUACAUCAUAAAUUAUAAAAUCAAUCUUGAAUUUCACAUAUUAAUAUAACUUUAUUGUGAUCGUAUCAGUUAUUCCUCGGUAUUUCAUUAAGUUUUUUGAUUUUUAGAUAUGUGAUCUUAAUUUGACAAUUUGUUUUCGAGAACAAGCCUAUACAAAAAAAUAUAAAUUUUAGAAUUGGUAAAGGAAUUAUUUUUAGAAAACCAAUAAUAUAUAUAUACAGGGGUGUUGUGGAAUCUGAUAGUUGUCGGAAUCAGAAUUGAAACCGAUCAAAAAAAGCAAUAGGUGUCAUGAAUUCAGAUAUUAUUAGUUUGAUAUUCGAAACAGAAUUUGUAUCGGUUUUGGGUGUCGCGGAAACCAAUUUUAUCGGUUUUGCUGUCAGAAACAAAUCAAGAAGAUAGUCGCACACAGAUUUGAAAUAGGAAAACAUAAGCAUAAAACACAAAAUGCCUCAAUUAUUGAAUUUUUGAAAAAAAAAUGCGGAUAUUUAAGUGGGGAGCCUGCAUUAGAGGCUUGAAAUCGAUUUUUUUGGGCAUUUGUCGGACGACGGGCAGUAUGCAGAACACAAUUUCUAUUGGAAAAAAAAUUCAAAAAGAUUACUUUUUGUUAAUAACUUAUGUUCUAGUUAAACUAAUAUAA